AUUGAACGCUGGCGGCAGGCCUAACACAUGCAAGUCGAACGAGUGGCGGACGGGUGAGUAAUGUCUGGGAAACUGCCCGAUGGAGGGGGCUAACUACUGGAAACGGUAGCUAAUACCGCAUACCAUUGGAUGUGCCCAGAUGGGAUUAGCUAGUAGGUGGGGUAACGGCUCACCUAGGCGACGAUCCCUAGCUGGUCUGAGAGGAGGACAGGCGAAACUGGAACUGAGACACGGUGCAGACUCCUACGGGAGGGAGCAGUGGGGAAUAUUGCACAAGGGGCGCAAGCCUGAUGCAGCCAUGCCGCGUGUAUUAAGAAGGCGUUCGGGUUGGAAAGUACUUUCAGCGAGGAGGCGUUACCCGCAGAAGAAGCACCGGCGAACUCCGUGCCAGCCGCCGCGGUAAUAC
rnacentral:rRNA from 1 species